AGUGAACGCUGGCGGCGUGCUUAACACAUGCAAGUCGAACGAGAACGGAUUAUAGCUUGCUAUAAUUGUCAGCUAAGUGGCGCACGGGUGAGUAAUGUAUAGGUAAUAUGCCUCUUACUAAGGGAUAACAAAUGGAAACGUUUGCUAAUACCUUAUACUCCUUAUUAACAGAAGUUAAUAAGGGAAAGAUUUAUUGGUAAGAGAUUAGCCUGUAUUGUAUCAGUUAGUUGGUGGGGUAAAGGCUUACCAAGACUAUGACACAUAACUGGUUUGAGAGGAUGAUCAGCCACACUGGGACUGAGAUACGGCCCAGACUCCUACGGGAGGCAGCAGUGAGGAAUAUUCCACAAUGGGGGAAACCCUGAUGGAGCGAUGCCGCGUGCAGGAAGACGCUUUUCGGAGUGUAAACUGCUUUUAAUAGGGAAGAUUAUGACGGUACCUAUCGAAUAAGGACCGGCUAACUACGUGCCAGCCGCCGCCGUAA
rnacentral:rRNA from 1 species